CAGAUAAGCAAAAUAUAAAUUUUCCACAUUUUAAUUGGUACACUGUAGUUGUACGUAAUGGUGGGAUCUGUUUCGUAUUCAUACAUGUACACAACAUGAUCAUCACUUGGCCAAUAUCACUCUCCAGCACUUCCCCCCUCCCUUUGGUCCCUUCCUCUACUGAUCUCCCUUCAAUUUUCAAGAGAUUCACCCCUACCUUCCUUUGCUGUUUUCCUUUCUAGCUUCUGCACACGUGAAAACAUACAACCCUUGACCUUCUGGGCUUGACUUAUGUCGUUUAACAUGAUGGUCUCUAGUUCCAUCCAUUUUCCUGCAAAUGACAUACUUUCAUUUUUCUUUAUGGCUGAAUAUAACUCCAAAAUAUACCACAUUUUAUUUAUCCAUUCAUCACUGAUAGACACAUAGGCUGGGUCCAUAGUUUGGCUGCUGUGAAUCCUGCUGCUAUAGACAUGGGGAUGCAUGUACCACUGUCGUAUACUGACUUUAAUUCUUUGGGAUAAAUACUGAGGAGUGGUAUAACUGGAUCAUAAGGUGCUUCCAUGCCUAGACUUUUGAGAAAACUCCAUGCUGAAUUCCAUAGUGAUUGUACUAAUUGACAGUCCCCCCAACCGUGUAAAAGUGUCCCUUUUCCUGCACAUUUGUUCUAGUAUUUAUUUUUUGUAUUCUUGAUGACUGCCAUUCUGACUAGAGUGAAAUGAAAUCUCACUGAAGUUUUUUAAAAUGUAAAAUGCAGUUUUUUAAAAAUAUUUUUUAGUUGAAGAUGGACACAAUACCUUUAUUUAUCUUUAUGUGGUGCUGAGGAUCAAACCCAGUCACAACCCCAAUGUAGGGUAGUUUUGAUUUGCAUUUCCCUAAUUGUUAACAAUGUUGAACAUUUGUUCAUACAUUUGUUGGCCAUAUGUAUUUCUUUUGAGAAAUGUAUGUUUGGUUCAUUUAUUAAUUUAUUAAUCGGAUCAUUUGCUUUUUUGCUGCUAAGUUUUUUGAAUUCUUUAUAUAUUCUAUUUAUUAAUCCUGUCAGAUUUCCUCCCAUUCUGUUGGUUUUCUCUUUAUUUCCCUAAUUACUUCCUUUGCUGUGCAGAAGCUUUUUAAUUUGAUGCCAUCCCAUUUAUUAAUUCUUGGCAUUAUUUCCUAAGCUUUAGGGUUCUUACUGGGAAGUCGUAAGCAACAGAUAAUUUUUUAGUAUAAGUAUGUCCCAUGAGAUAUUAAAGGUAGGUCUGUAGGGACUGACAGUAGAUUUCUAGGGCUGGGGGAGGAGCGGAGAGAGUGACUGCUAGUGGGUACAGGUUCUUUCUGGGAAAUGAAAAAGUAAAAUCGGUCAUCAGUGAUAUCUGCUCGACUCCGAAUAUGCCGACAACACCGAAUUGCAGACAUUAAGGGUGUUUCGUAGCAAAUGCACUGUAGCUAACGAGUCCAAGGGUUCCUCGGGAGUUCGGUGGUCCAUAAGGCCAUGCUCGCUGCCCUCCCGUCUCAGGCACCUGCAGGGCGUUGUUACCUGACGGCGUCCUCAGCCGACUUCUCAGGACCAUAGCGAUGGGCUUUUCGUAAUUUGCAACUAGAGUCACUGGAUACUGUCACCUGCCACGCGGCGCGCGUGCCCUGUGUGGAUCCUAGACCCACCCGCGACAGAACCGCCGGCGCCCUGGGGACAUCGGGGCUGGCCAUCGGUUACGACGCGUGCCGUGGUUCCCGCGCGCUCGGACCUCGGACUGGGCGCAAGUUUCCCUGGGACACUGGUUGGCACUCGGCCGUCUUCAGAGGAAAGUGAAAAUUUUGCCAGCGGCUCAACUGACUCUGGCUCCACCUUCAGCAUUCAUGGCUGGGCUCUCAUUGGUCCAUCGUGGGUCAUGUGGCUGUCUCUGACCCAAUCACUCAGACCGGAGCCUGGCGUUCUGUGACUGGCCAGGCCUGGGUCAUGUGCCCAGGGAGACCGCGACCGUCUUGGCUACGGCUCCCUAGGAGGGCCAUCCCCGGAACCUUCACGGGUCUGGUCCUCCUGGGCCGCGUCUCGGUAGCCUCCGAACUGAGGCCUCCGGCCCAAGGAGACCAGUGGGGCACGUGAGCUGAAGUCCGCGUAACCUGCGGCCGCAGGCGCCCGGCCCUGGCCCUGCCCCUGCCCGUCGCCAGAACCCUCCCGGAGCGCGCGCCGAGCCUCGGCGCCUGGCUGCGACGUCCUGGCGGGUGGGGGCUGGCGUGCGAGUGCGGGAGCCCGACUUGGUAGCCAGCCUCGCGGGCUUGGCGCGCGUGGCCCCGAGCUCUAGCGCACUUGCCCUGGUGGAGUGUUUGUAGGUGCCAGGUUCAGGGACCGCGGAGCGCACAGCCUUAACCUCGCGUCGCGAGUUUAGUGCAGGCGACAGCUCCGAGCAUCACGCCCGGGAACGUUCUCCAAGCCCUUCCCGCUCUGCCCACCUGCAGCCCCAGCAGCGUCACUGCUCUGCCGUCCACGAGUUUUGCCUGUCCCGGGAGCGCAUAUAGAUAGCACUGGUACGUGCUCCCGGGAAGUCUCCUUUCGCUUGGCGUCGCGGUCUGAGAUUCAUGCACGUAGCUUCCUGCGUCAGUAGUCUGCUAUUCCAUCAUCCCAGGGUUAUUCAUCGUUAUGGUUUCCUUUUUCCCGACCCUGCUCACCAUGACCGAAAUAGUAAGAAAUCCGGGAAACGGGUUCCCUCCCCGGAAGGAUGACGCCGCCGUCGCAGAGCAGGCUGUGUCUGGGCUGCUGCUUGCUGAGCGCACCGAGCCCAAGUCUGGCAUUUGCUGCCCCUGGUGGCAGAGAAGAAAAGCUCUGGCGGUAGUAUAGGGGGAACAGACGCCUUCAGAUGACAAGGUCCUCGACGAACACCUCUGACUCAGCAUCAGGAAGUGAAUAGCUUACUUCUCACCCAGCACUUGGACCAUCUCACAUGAACUCAGUACUCUUUCAUCUUUUAUGACCCCUGCACUUCCAAAUUGAGGGAUACAAAUACAAAGAGGUUUUCUGUUUAAAUUCUUAUUAAAGUUCCUGAUAAAGGUUUUCACUGUUUCUAAUUUUUUA
rnacentral:lncRNA from 1 species